GCCUGAAUGGCGGAACUGGUAGACGCUGGGGACUUAAAAUCCCUUACUCGUAAGAGUGUAGGAGUUCAAUUCUCCUUUUAGGCA
rnacentral:tRNA from 1 species